AUGUUGCAAAACUUUGCAUUGUGUUUCUUCCCCUAAUAUAAUUGCAUCUCUUAUUGGCAUUUCUCGAGUGGAUGACUAGCAAGAUGUUUUCCUUUUUGCUUCUCUACUUUUCUAUAAUUAAUCUCAUUAUUAAUAUGUUUAUAAACAUGAACUUGUGUGCCUUUUUUGUUUCUUUUAUAUUCUUUUUCUAUUAUUAUUAUGUUUUUGGAUUCGUGUGCAUUUAUUUUCCUACAUUUGCAUCUGUCUCCAAUUUCAACCCCGUAUAAGAUCUCUAAGCUUGCCCAUGAAAAAUAAAUCUUAGAAGUUGCAGAAUCCAACAUAAAUGAACCUCAUUGUCCAAGAUAAGAAAAGUUUGUGUAUUUAUGAUUUUCUAUUUUUUGGACAUUGAGAUAAAAAUUUGUGUUCUUAUUGUUUUCUGCUGCAGGCAUUCAAGAAUGUAUUGGAUCAAUAUCUGGGAGUAAAUUAUGAUGGCCCAAAACCAUUGGUUGGGUGAGAUAUACGCUGACACAAACUUCUCUAAAGAAAUUGGUCCUGCCAGUAGCCACAAGAGAGCAAAUUGAUGCAUGUCCCCAGAAGAUGCUUUUGUCUCAAUUGGUACUUUUACAUGUUGAGAAUGAGUUGUAGAACAACUUGACUUUUGGGUUACAAAGCUUCAAAUCAACACAACUGGACAUAAAUAAUGAAUACUGCUGGAGAUCAAUACUUUGAAAGGAAAUGUUAGUUGCAUUUGAGAAACCUUCACAACUUCUAAUGGGCACAGUGGUAGGCACCGAAGAACUUGACAGUGAUGUUGUGAUGAGCAUGAAAGACUGAAAUAUUAACAUGCACGCAGCUUGCUGUCCAGCUUGGCCCACCUUGCAUUACAGGGAAAUAUUGGUUUACUAAGGCUGUUGAAACACAAAACAAUUACAAAUUAACACAAACAAAACCAACUCGCAUGUUGAUCAGGCGGUUCUGGUUUAUUCAGCACUGAAUCGAUUUAUUCUGCACUUUCAACCUCACUUCUGCUAGUGACACCAUUUAUUCUGCACUGAAUCGAUUCUAAAGGACAAAUGCAGCCUCUAAUGCUAUGGCAACAACCAGAUAAUAUUGCCAUCUGCACGCCAAAUGCAAUUAUGUCAGUUUUCUUAAUACAGAAUAGGAACAAUGCUUCAGGUGAACCAUAAAAUUCUGCUCCUACUUUCUUCC